rnacentral:tRNA from 1 species
GUACCAGUGGUCUAGGGGUAGAAUAGUAUCCUGUCAUGGUACAGACCCGUGUUCGAUUCUCGGCUGGUUCA